CUCACUUCCCCCAGGGAACAUGGCCCUGGAGGGCAAUCAUUCCAAAGUCCAGCUGAAUUCACUCUCGGAUCCUAGCAGAGUCCUUGGUGACACAGAGCGGGAGAGGCGGUAGCAGCCUCGGGAAGACAGCCACGGGGCCAGGGCGUCCGGACAGGGCAGGUCCAGGCUAGUUGCCCUCUCGUCGUGCCUGCCCCUUCGUGUGCAAAGUAAGGAAGUCAGCAGGUGGCGAGGAAGGCUCCUGGGUCCAGGCGGGCGCACCGUCGUUUAGGAAGGCGACCGGCUGCACCCGCUGUCCAGGGGAAGAAAGAUCCAGCCAGGGGAUCAGAGCCUUGGUGCCUUGCGGUUACUAGGAUCCGGACCCUGAGCAGCCUCCUAACGCCUCCGACUCCUUUUACGCCCAGCUUGCCGCUCGAGGUCAGGAAGAGUCUUUGGGUCAGAGCGCAGUGUUCCCAGCGGCCAGGGACCCCCCUGCGUCAGGCCCGCCCUGCCCGGCUCGUACCGAUUGCUCGUGGCAGGACCGGGACACGGCGCCCGCCGGCCCUGGCUCGCUCCACCGCUACACCGGCCGCAUCUUCCAGGGCGCGCGGGCGUCGCGCAGCGAGCGGUCGUGGGGCAGCGCAGCGAAGGCCGAGUGGCGCAGCUGGCAGCCGAUGAAGAGGAUGACGAGCGCAACGGAGAGCAGCAGCAGGAAGAAGAGCAGCAGGUAGGUGGGCAGGUCGGGCUUUGCGGCCGCGCCGUCCCGCAUCCCGCGCGCGGUGGCCAGCUCCAGCGGCAAAGCGCCCUCUGCCUUGACCGUGGCUGCCAGGGCCAGCGCGCCGCCUACCGCCGCCUCGGGGCCGCCGGUGGCGUUGAACACGUCGCCGUACAUGGCCCGUGGGGCCGCCGACCCCGGCCCGGCCGCCUCACUUAGCCCUGCGCGGACCGGCGCCACCCGGCGCCUCCAUGGGGCGCCCCUCCCGCCCUGCUGCGCGCAACCGACCGGGAGUCGGUGCCUUCGGGUCAGCUGGGGCCGAGAGUCCCCGGGCCGCGGCCGCUCUCUCGCCUUCGCUCAGCUGCCUUCCCCGCGGGGCGGCGGACCCCAGGGCUCGGAGCUGGACGGCCCCGCGCCCGCGACCCUCGGGCCUUCCCUGUUUCUCGUCGGUUCCGAGUCACCCGUCUUGCGGUUUUACGGUCGCCCUCUCAGCUCGGACCCCCGGCUCGGGUGAGCUCCGGGAUCCGGGGCGCCUCUGGGCUGCAGCGGCGGCGAGAAGUGCCUGGCGAGUGCGGCCGCAGCUCGGGGUGCAGGCUCAGCGCCCGGACGCCCAGCGUACCGAGGGCGGAUGGCGGGAGUCCUCUGCGUCCUCCGCCGCCGCCGGUCUCCGGGCAGUCCUGCAGCCCGGAGUCCCUGUCAAGAUGCUCGGUGUGCAGCGAGCCUGUUCCACUAGCUUUGGCUGCUGCCCUCCUGUCUCGAGCAGGAGACUGAGCUCUGAGGCGGCUCUGAGCGCGCUCAGGUCCUGGGCGGGGGGCGGGACUGGCAGCGGCUGCCCCCGGGGAGCGGCUGCGAACCAAUGAGGGCGAGAGAGGACAGGGCUGCGACUGCCCCCGGCCCGGCCUCACAUCACUCACAGAGAGAGGGACACACAGAGAGAGGCAGGGAGAAAACACACAGGGUCACAGAAAGACUGACGGACAAAGAGACGGACGGUUACAGACCUAUGAGCAGAGACACGCAAAACAGAGACAGUUGUUGACAGCAAACCGACUCAGAGACAAGGCUCAGCCGGGCAUGGACACCUGCUUUCAUUCUUCUCCUUGACAUUCUCCCUCCAGGCGUAGCCUGGUUGGUUGGAGCCCCUCAGGCAGGGCACACUGCCUCCGGGGGAGGCCUGGGGCGAAGGUAGGGGGCUCCCGGACAGGCUGGGACUGGUUCCAAGUCUCAGGCUCCUCUCUUGCUGUGCCCUGAGGGCACACGUGCUUCCCCCACCGGGAGCUCCCUCGCUCAGCUCUCCUGGCCGGUUCCGCUCCGGCUCGGGAGGCAAGAGGAGGACAAGAUGCUGGCGAUGGCUUACCUGCCCUUUGCAGCCCUGGUGAAUGCUUGGGGGCCAGGGCAGAGGUGAGCAGUCAGCAGGACUGAGGGGGGGAUCUCCUUUUCCAAGAGUCCGAACUCCUGACUUCCUCUGAGAAGCCUCUGAAGCCCCCCAGGCUAGUAUGGGAGCCCCUGCCCUGGCUGCUGCAACCUCUGCUCUGCUCAGGAAGUACUGACCGCCCUGACUGUCCUCCCCACGAGAUUGAAGGAGGCGCUUACCCCCAGGGUCCUGCAGGCGCAGAGUCAGGAGCGAGGUGCCUCCGUCCAUUUUGCACCCUAGCGCCUCACCCCUCACCCUAGUCCCAGCAAUGCUGUCUGGUCUCUUGUCUGAGACCCCUGCAGGGUCAGCCAAGAUCAUGGCUGUGUCUCCCCCUUACCUCCUUCCCCACUCAAGGGGUGCAGAACCUGGGAGAGCUUGAUGAGUGCUGGCUGAAGGAACCGGGGGAAGAUGAGUUAGCGAUUGCCCUCUCCCUCACCGCACCUCACACCUGGCCACAGGCGCAACAAGGACAACCGAGGAGUGCCAGGCCGACCUCGGCCAGAGCUCAUUCCCACAAAUCCCAGCUGCCCAGGGGAAACACUUCUGCAAGCUCUUUGUCCAGUGUUGAAACUGUGUCCCCAAGUCAUGACCCCACAGAGAGUUUGACUGCUUGUUGAGUGAGGUGGAAAAUGCUCCGGAGGCCCACCUCAGUGUUUUCCUCUUAGUCUCGUGGAUGGGCCUGGGGGGCCUCCUUGGGCCGGAAGAGGCCCGUGUGUGUGGGUAUGGGGUGGACAGCAGGACCCGGCAGGACUCAGCAGUGCCCCAUCUACCCACCUGGUCCGGAAGAGCCGCCUAGUGUGCUCCAAGGGCAUAGGAGCCUGCGCCCCUCUGCCUGGCUGCUGCUUAGGCCACCCCCUCAUUUGCAGAUGGGAAAGCUGGCUCUGAGAGGGGCAAGGCCUACCCACAUCAGCACAGGCCAGCCGCCCAAAACAGUGAUGCAGCAGCCAUGGAAGGGGCCCACCAGCCGAACGCCAGGAGUCCCUUUCUCUGAAGGCCUGACUUAUUUCAGACAGCAUUUCACCCAGCCAGCAGGAUCCCAGGGGACAUUAUGUGACACGACAACAGGCUGUCUCAUGGACAUGUUCAGCCAAGGGGAGGGUUGCAGCCAUCUAAAAUACAUACGAUGAGGAAAAGCAUCAAACGGUUCUCAGUUUGUAGCUCAGUUUGGGGUUUGGCCUUGACUUUCCUCCAUGUGUUUAUAUGGGGAGUCACAUGGCCCACGGACCCCGCUUCCUCUCCGCUCCGCCCAGGAGAUCAGGUCAGACACCAGGCGAUGGCGGAAAGUCUGGGCAGCUCAGUUGGGAGGUCCUAAGUGGAGUCUGGGGCAAGCCUCAGCCUUUUGGGCUGUAAGAUGAAGGUUUACGGUGAGUGAUUUCUGGUCCUGCUCUGGAAAUGUGCUGUGAUCAUCCGAGGAGCAGGGGAGUCUGCAAAGGGUUUGGGGUGGAUGGAGGGCUCCUGCUGCUCCGUUGCUCAUGUGGGACAGGGGACAUCUCUGAACCUGGGGUCCCUGGCACUGCGCGUUCCUUCCUCGGAGCCCUACACUAAUAGCCAUUAUAGCACUACUCAACCUGCUUUUCAUCAGCACAUUGCAUUUUGCAGAGGUAGGACAGGCAAGGACUCGUGGCCUGUGAAUAGCAGAGCUAGGACUUGAACCUGGCAGCCAGGCUCCAGAGUCCAUGCACUUAACCCCUACAGGGACCACCUCUAAUGGCGGAGCAGUUCUAGUAGCUGCCAUGUGCAGACCUCCUUUCACAGCCAAGCCUGGCUUGGGUUUCAGCAUGACCUCUUUCUCCUCACAGCAACCUGUGAGAGAGCCACUCCAUUCUCCCAAGGAGGAAGCUGGAACCCUGAGAAGUGGGGUCACCUACCAAGGUCACACAGCUGGGUCACGUUGCCAGGGGGCCUCAGACUCCACUCCGCAGCCUGUGCUUGUCCACUCAGUCUAAAGCUGCUUUUUCUAAUGAGAGCAUAUGGUCAAAGCGCCUUUCCUUUUGGUAAAGUUGGAGGAGAUCUCUUGCCCUUUUUUGGGGGUCUUUUGGUCCCAAAGUGGGGAGAGCACUGUUUCUUUUCCAAAAGAUGUUCAGAGCCCCAAGAGGGCAGUCACGUUCCCCGAACAUCCCCCGGCAGGAAAUUAAACAAGGCUGAUGCUGAGUAAAUGCAGAGAUGAAGUUUACACAGCUUUUUACACAAACCAGAACGACCUUCCAUUAAGGGAGCUUUGUGUACCCACACAUUUAAGUCUCAGAAAAGAUUAUAAAGGGGCUUGGAGGUUGACUUUGACGGGCUGAGGUCACAGGGCUGGGACCCUGGAGCGACCUCUUCCCCAUUACAUGGUCACUGAGUGACACGUGUUCCUCCCCCACCGGCCUGUCUGUGGAGAGACCCAGAGAGGCCGGGCGAGCGUGCCUUUCCUGCCGCGAUGGGGCCAUUUGGCAGCUGUUUGAUGGAAAUUAGGGAGCCGGGGACCAUUAGGGCCCCAGCAUUUCAUAAACUAUGCCGCGCCGACCUGCGCUGCUUGGUGAAGCUAUUUCUGUUUCUUCUGCACGCUCGGGGAAUUAUCAUUAAGCCACUCAGCGUCACCAGGAGGCUGGGUGAAGAUCGAACUGCUGUCUGAGGUUGGAGCUGGUCGCAGCCGGAGUGGGUUUUCCCUGCGCACUGCGCACAUCCGGCUGCUGCCGCCGGCCCCGCUUCCUCUGUGAGCGCCGCCCGUGCCCUCGCGCAGACCUUUUUAUUUUUACCCUCGCCCCAGCAAUGUUGGUUUUUUUUUCUUUCACAGAUGGCUUUGGUAACCACAGUAGUUGGUUGGUGACAUAAGGUUGCAUGUUUGAAUGACCAUUUUAGGAACUAAAUAACAAGUAGGCCAAGCCCAGGCUCUGAAGUGAAGUGAUCUUCCAAAUGCAGAUAGGCAGCAGUGGGCUUGGAGAAUGGCCGGGUGGGGGCCUGCAGGGGUUGGAGUCUGGUUGGUGGAGCGGGGUCAGUGGAGAAAGGCUGGCUGUGAGGGAGAAGUAGCUCUGCAAGGAGAGUGCUCACGAAAGGACUCCUACCCCAGAAAGGGCAUCUCUGUUUCUGUCCUCUGAUCCCCAGGCCUGUGGGUGUCUUGCAGGAUCAGACGGUGGGACGGGACGGAGAGUCAGUAAUGCGAUCCACAAGGCUGCCUGGGUGGGGCUGGGAGUUCAGGAAGAGGGUGCAAACCUGGCUCUGCGGGCUGGGGCUGUUGGCUCUGACUCUGGUGAUAGGAUGACUCCGGGUGUGCCAUUUUUUGGACAAAGUCUCACUGGUUAGUCCCUCAACAUCUUUCUCCUUGGUCCCAAUGACAUAUGACUUUGCCUGCCUCUCUGGGUCCCUUUAGCUGUAUGGCCUCUAGCCAAGUGGGUCAUAGUGACACAAAGCUUGCUGGCUCCUGGGACUGAUAGCAGACUGAUUGCCACCCCCUGGGUGCGUCACCUAGCCUUCUCUGGGAAGGACAGAGGUUUGCGUGCUGGUGAAGAUGCACUGCCGCCUGGUCCUGAUCAGGGGAUUCGGGGUGGAGUCCCUGCGUGCUAAGGAGCAGGCCACCGCUCUGGCCAAGAGUGGGAGGUGGCCUGAGGCUGGGAUAGAGCCAGCAUGUGCCCAAAGGAGCAGGAGGACUUGGAACAGGACUGUUGUUUAUUUAUUUAUUUAUUUAUUUUUUCCGAGGAAGAUUAGCCCCGAGCUAACAUCUGCUACCAAUCCUCCUCUUUUUGGCUGAGGAAGACUGGCCCUGAGCUAACAUCUGUGCCCAUCUUCCUCUACUUUAUAUGUGGGACACCUGCCACAGCAUGGCUUGACAAGUGGUAUGUAGGUCAGUGCCUGGGAUCUGAACAAGUGAACCCUGGGCCACCAACGCGAAACGGGUGAGCUUAACUGCUGCUCCACUGGGCUGGCCCCCUAGGACUGUUGUUUAAAUCAGUAGCCAGGCUCGGGGGCACCUGGCAUCUGGCUGGGGUCCUCUGGUCCCUGUCCCUGUACUUCAAGGGAGGAAGAAUGAGAGCCAGAGCGGGUGCCUUGGGCCCAGAGGUGGAGAGAGGCAGCAAGGCAGGGAGAAAGUAUGUUUAGUCAAUUAAGAGGCCCCCCUCAACCCACGCCAUCUGUGGCACGGAUCAAGAGCUACUUCAUGGAAAGGUCAGGAAGAGCUGGUUCUGUUGUAGGAUUGCAUUUCCCGAGAUCUGGAAUGCACACUUCAAGUGGGGCGCAGUAUUAGUUUAGCUAGCAAAUGGGUACGUCAUUGAAUCACACAGUGAAAAAGUUACUGUCUUGUAAUCUCUUUUAAUGAUUCUGAUUAUGGCAAGAAGAAUAACCCAGUUUGGUCUCAUGUCAGUUCGGGUCCUCCGAGAAGCACGUGUGGGAGACUUAUUGGUGGAAACGCCAGCGGCGGAUAAAGGGUGUGGGAGGCGGAGUAGGCUGGGGGAGCCUUCGGAUCACAGUGCAGGUCUGACACCUGUGAGAGGAGAGAGGAAGGGAGGACCUGGUAGGAAGCACCCAAACUAGACAUGUGGCAGCCAGGCCAGCGGGCUUCCUGUUAGGAGAGCCCUGUCCGGCAGGGGGUGGGCAGCUGGCCGCAGUUUGGGGCUCAGUGGGUGGUCAAAAGUAGAGUGAUCUUUCUCUGCUGAGGCUGGGGCUGGUGACCCUUUGCAGAGGGCUGUCGAGGCCUGGAGGAAGCGGCAGGUGCCAGAGGUUGAAGUCACCUCUGCUCAGAAGCCCUCUCUCCAAGCCCUGGGCCUGGCUAACCCUUCCUCUCUGGCCUCUCUCCCGGGUGGGUGAGGCCCAGGCAGUCUCCAGCUGUUUACAGCUGGUUUUGACUGUGUGCCUCAGAUUCAAAAUCUUCCAAGGGUGAGAGGCUCACCUUUGGGUUUGCGCCUGUGAGUCUGGGCUGAGGUCAGGUUCCAGGGGCUCAGCCAGCCCCCCUUGCCUUGUUUCUGUGGUCAGUGGUGUAAGGUCCAUAUGUGUCCUGGGCUGUGUGUCGCGGCUGGACCUGCUCUCUCUCCUGGCAUUGGCAUUUCCACAGACACUGCUACUGCCCAGGCGCAGAGGCCCACUGCCCGACACGGAGACCGCAGCAGCCACCUGCCCUUCGCUGUCCCUCUGCAACCCAUCCUUAGGGGGAGAUGGAGGUUUUGUGGAGCCUGGAGCUUGUGCAUCUUAGGGGCCUUCUCUGAGAAUAACACCACAAAAUUAGGUUUUAAAGUGAAGAUUUAUUUAGAAAGAGAAACAGAAUCGAAAUAAAUUACGAAUUUUGAAAAGCUGACAAAGAUCCAAAACAUGGAAAAACAAUCCAGACUGGCUUCUGGCGCCAUACAUUUCAAACCCCAGUUCCCUUCCAUAGUCGCAUUCCCUGCUCCCAGGUGGUUAGCGACACUUGGUCCAGGGUACUCUGCUCGGGACCCUGCACCUUUGUGUCCUAAUACCAGUGAGCUGACACAGUGGGCGGUGGGAGCGUCCCUGGGAACCACAGGCGGGUGGCAAGCAGAACCAAAGCUCUAAGAGGCACCUCCAGCGCAGCCCUCUCUCAGCGGGGUGGCCCAAAUUUCACGGGCUCUUCAGCGCAGUUAGACCUGAGGAGAAGUGUGGCAGAGGGAAGUUGUAGUGGAAAACAGUAGUUUUACCUGAUAAAAUGCCUUACUUUUACAAAUUUUAUUAAAACACGUGACCAAGUGAACAGGAGUUGGGGCCCCUAAGUCUGAGCUGCAGUGACCUCACGGAAACCCACCUCCAUUGUCCUGGGCGCCCCCGCUGCCACAGGGAGCCCAGAUUAUCAUGGUCACUGUCUGAGUCAACCACUUACAUGGUUCCCACUGACCUUUUUAAAAAUAAAACACACUUCCCCCUAUUUUUAUCCUGGUUAUGAAAGCAGUAUUUCGUCAUUACUGGGAAAACAUAAACAAGGGUAAAAAAGAAAAUAAAAGUCAUCCAGGAGUAAACCCCGUAGGCAAGCAGUCACGAUUUGGAAUUCCGCUCUUCUCCCCUCCCCUACUAGGAGCUGAACAUGACGUUGCGGCAGAAAGGUUGGAGUGUCCAACAUCACCACAUAGGCUCGCUUUACACUCCUCAUUUCAGGCUGGCUGGUUGUUCUAGAGUAUCCUUGAUUGUCAGCCUCCAUCAUCGUUCCUACCCAGAUCCCUUUCUGGCUCAAAUGAGGGCCUGGCCAGCAGAUGAGGCACCGUGGGGGCUUUGAUAAGUGAGAUGCCCGUCUUGGCUCCAGCAUGUUUGAGCUGGUGGGGAGAGGUCUCUCCUUGCUCUCAGACCCAGGCCUGUGAGCCCGAGGUUCCCAAGAACUGACAGACUGAGGACUGGCCUGCUUCCAACUCUGUCAGGAAUGUCUGAUGUCUGGGGUGGGGGGAUCAGGCUUGGGGAGCGGGGGGCCUGCCACAAAAGAAGGACUGGGAAGGGCGCAUCGGGCAGCCUUCUUAGGGUUUAGGUAUGGCUGAACCCAUAUCUGAGAGAUACAGGGGAUGGCCCAGGCCACCUGUAACCCCACCCAUGCCAGAGGGCAGCACCAGCCAGAAAGUCUUGAUCUGAGUCAGCAAGAAGCUCUGGGAUUGGGGACCUGCAGGAAGAGUGUCACCAGCUCCCAUCUCCAGUACAUCCGUCUUGCAGCUGCCUGCAGAGUGAGGACUCUGGGCAGGCUGGGGAGCCUCAGCAGGGUCAGGCUUGAGCUCUGCCUGCAGAUUCUGCUCCUGAGCCGAGGUCCUGGGUGGGCAGUUAGAGGCCUGGCUGCCAUCUCAGGGGAUUAGUCCUGGCUCCACACAGACAGGCACCACCUCCCUACCCACCACCCUCCCCAAAGACCAGGCCAGCCUGCAAACCGGUCCUCCAGAGGAGGCUCAGCCUUCUCCAUGGAGGCCCCUGGUAGUUGGACCAGGCCUCCUGCACACCCUGUCUUCAUGGGCACAGGCCCUGAUGUCCCUUCCCAAGUUAACGGGAGGGUGGGACAGGAGAGACGUCCUCCUGACAGCGUUCACUCUUCAUGGCCCUCCCCCGACCUAUGCUUAAAAUAUAGAGAAGGGUCCAUCCUUGACUAGAAAAAGGAGGAAAAGUCCAAGUUUACAAAAUUUGGGAGCAUAUUCCUUCAGGUUUUGAAAUGAUGUUUUCAUUUUCUCCAAAGCUUUUAAAAAGACAAAACAAAAAACAACUUGGUUUCUCUCCCAUAAAAGUCUUGGGGAUCCCCAAAAUCUUAAUUUUGGAUAAGUCCCUCCCUGCAGCCAGUCACCCCUGCCCUGAGCCUUCCCCUUGGCCAGUGCCUGGGCGACAGCUCUCAUUUCUUUCCUGGUCCUUCCUGAACCUCUGCCACUGGGUGGUGCCGUCUUCUCCCACAGGGGAGUGGUGGGGUCACGAUCAGUGUCCCAGAGGCCAUGGGUAGAAGGGGCGAUGGGUGGGGGAGAGGGGCAGAGAAAGGCCCCCUAAACAAAGCAGGAGUAUGUUGGUCACGAAAAUCUCUGAGAGAGUAUCCUUUGUGCUCUGUCAGUUCUUGACAGGAAGGGAGGGACAAAUAUGCCCAUGGCCUGAUUCAUGAGGAAAUGUGAUUAUUUAAAAAAAGUCUUAAGUGAGAGAACUGAAGCUGUCCUUUAAGUGGCAUUUUAAAACUUAAAUUGGAAACUAGAUUAGCAUUGCCAUUUUAUGCGGAGGCAAUAGGAAUCUGACCUGUUCCUCCUCUUGAGCCCCGGCUCCCAGGUCAUAAGUUAGGGUGUCUCCAUCCUGGAAGGUUUCCUCUGGGGAGGCACGUGUGGUCCCUGUACCCAGAGCUGCUGGGGAAGGGGCUUCUCCGGCCGCUCCCUGUAGGCUGCCAGCCCGCUCGUCUCUGCUGGAUGACUCGGAAUGGAAUCCUUUGGCCCUUCUUUGAGACAGCCUUUAAGAUGACACUCCCCCAGAGAUGGUGUUGAGUGGAUGUUCUCAACAUCUCAACUAGAACCAAAUCGGGAAAACAAGAAGAUGUGUGGGGGUGUUAAGGGCAUUUUGAGAUGUGACAGUUGCCCAUCCAGCCCCACCUUGUCCUGAAUUCAUCCACCCAGGCAAGAAAGGCAGGGUCCCGCACUGGCCCCCAAAGGGAGCCAAGGCCGUGGGGCAGGUUCUCCAGGGGCUGGGACUCAGUUUCUACUCAUGGCACCUCCUCUCUCCCAGCCCCUUCAGAAUCACCUGGGGAGAUCGGGAGAUCGGCUAGUGGGAAAGUAACGUCCUAUUCUUCCCCACGGGAGUUUGGGGAUUAAGAUUGAUAUAAAUAUGCAAAUAAAACCACGAGUAAUACCCUCUAAUAAUGAUCCCUAUGGGUGGGAUUAAGGGCGAUUUCCAUUUUCUUCUUUUUGAGUGCCAAG
rnacentral:lncRNA from 1 species